rnacentral:rRNA from 1 species
GUAUUUGGUCGUAGACCCGAAACCAGGUGAUCUACCCUUGGUCAGGUUGAAGUUCAGGUAACACUGAAUGGAGGACCGAACCGACUUACGUUGAAAAGUGAGCGGAUGAACUGAGGGUAGCGGAGAAAUUCCAAUCGAACUUGGAGAUAGCUGGUUCUCUCCGAAAUAGCUUUAGGGCUAGCCUCAAGUGAUGAUUAUUGGAGGUAGAGCACUGUUUGGACGAGGGGCCCCUCUCGGGUUACCGAAUUCAGACAAACUCCGAAUGCCAAUUAAUUUAACUUGGGAGUCAGAACAUGGGUGAUAAGGUCCGUGUUCGAAAGGGAAACAGCCCAGACCACCAGCUAAGGUCCCAAAAUAUAUGUUAAGUGGAAAAGGAUGUGGCGUUGCCCAGACAACUAGGAUGUUGGCUUAGAAGCAGCCAUCAUUUAAAGAGUGCGUAAUAGCUCACUAGUCGAGUGACACUGCGCCGAAAAUGUACCGGGGCUAAACAUAUUACCGAAGCUGUGGAUUGUCCUUUGGACAAUGGUAGGAGAGCGUUCUAAGGGCGUCGAAGCAUGAUCGCAAGGACAUGUGGAGCGCUUAGAAGUGAGAAUGCCGGUGUGAGUAG